GCCCGUUGAAAGCAAUCACAAGUUACAAAGCGGAGUUAGAGAGUCAGUUGACAAGGAGAGAAAUUAAAGAUAGGUUGAAAGACUCAUUUAUCUCUUACACUAGACCAGACAUAACCUAUUCAAUUAGCUUGGUGACACUACAAGAAAUCUGACUGAUGCUAUCGCCACAAAAGAUAAAUGUUUAGUGGCUACAACUAUUAUCGCAGCUGGAAGCAUAGUAUUAGUGGCGACUAAGAAUGCGUCGCAGCAAAAUAUAAUGUAUCUCUUCGCAAGCACGGUGAACGCCACCGAACACAAGGGCUUUUGUGGUGACUCUUAGUGUCGCCACUAAAUCUACCAUAUUAAGUCACUGAAGAGGACCACACACCAUCGGUGGUGAACAUGCUCCUUCUUGUCUCUUUAUCUGGCGAAUCGACCACUGACUUCCUUCCUCAUUUCUUCCUCUCUCUAGAUUUUGUGCUCUCUGUUUUCACAAGGCGAGAAAACCUAAUCUCUUUUUCUCUAUUGUGAUGGUUUACGAAUUAUCAUCAUAUUCGGAAUAAGUGAUUAUACAUGAUUGCGACUGGUGUGUUUGUGCAGCGCAAGGCUCAUGGUUAGCACGAUCUUUAGGGCUUUUAUGCUUGAAUACUGCUUAGUGCUCGGUGCUUUGGAGUGAGAAAAGAGAAUAUGUGAUUCACAUAUAUUUGGAUAGUUGAUAUUAUGCAUUUGGGAUGCCCAUCUAAUCAGAUUGAUCGCUAGGUAGUAACUAAUCUAUCCAUAGUGCGCGCAAAGGAUAAUGAUGCACCUUUUUAUGGGCAGUACCAAGGAGCGGAACAAUGGGAGCUGCCAAUAUUAUCCUUUCUUGAUUUUGGUCAGGCUUUUUCUCUCCCACCUUUGGCUGCAUCUAGGACAUGAAGUUUGUUAGUUGAAUUCCAAAAUCAUGUUCUUUAGGGGAGGAGGAAUGGUGCUAGCCGAGGAGGAGCUCCAAAACAUUAUAUUUAUCUUUGUUCUUUUGUGCAUUUCAUGUAUAUGUACAACUACAAUAUGUUUUGAAUUUGUUAAUAAAAAGUUCCGAUAUAACUUUGUUUGAGAAA